rnacentral:tRNA from 1 species
GGGCCAUUAGCUCAGGGGUAGAGCGCACCGCUGAUAACGGUGAGGUCGCUAGUUCAAAUCUAGCAUGGCCC